rnacentral:rRNA from 1 species
CAGUCGAGGGGUAACAGGAGAUAGUUUACUAUUUUGCUGACGACCGGCGCACGGGUGAGUAACGCGUAUACAAUUUACCUUUUACAGGAGGAUAGCCCAGAGAAAUUUGGAUUAAUACUCCAUGGUAUUACGGAAUCGCAUGGUUUUGUAAUUAAAGUUUCGGCGGUAGAAGAUGAGUAUGCGUCCUAUUAGCUAGAUGGUGAGGUAACGGCUCACCAUGGCGACGAUAGGUAGGGGUCCUGAGAGGGAGAUCCCCCACACUGGUACUGAGACACGGACCAGACUCCUACGGGAGGCAGCAGUGAGGAAUAUUGGUCAAUGGAGGCAACUCUGAACCAGCCAUGCCGCGUGCAGGAAGACUGCCCUAUGGGUUGUAAACUGCUUUUAUACAGGAAGAAACUUACCCACGUGUGGGUAACUGACGGUACUGUACGAAUAAGCAUCGGCUAACUCCGUGCCAGCAGCCGCGGUAAUACG